rnacentral:rRNA from 2 species
CCUUUACUAUAGCUUGACACUGAACAUUGAGCCUUGAUGUGUAGGAUAGGUGGGAGGCUUUGAAGUGUGGACGCCAGUCUGCAUGGAGCCGACCUUGAAAUACCACCCUUUAAUGUUUGAUGUUCUAACGUGGACCCGUGAUCCGGGUUGCGGACAGUGUCUGGUGGGUAGUUUGACUGGGGCGGUCUCCUCCUAAAGAGUAACGGAGGAGCACGAAGGUUGGCUAAUCCUGGUCGGACAUCAGGAGGUUAGUGCAAUGGCAUAAGCCAGCUUGACUGCGAGCGUGACGGCGCGAGCAGGUGCGAAAGCAGGUCAUAGUGAUCCGGUGGUUCUGAAUGGAAGGGCCAUCGCUCAACGGAUAAAAGGUACUCCGGGGAUAACAGGCUGAUACCGCCCAAGAGUUCAUAUCGACGGCGGUGUUUGGCACCUCGAUGUCGGCUCAUCACAUCCUGGGGCUGAAGUAGGUCCCAAGGGUAUGGCUGUUCGCCAUUUAAAGUGGUACGCGAGCUGGGUUUAGAACGUCGUGAGACAGUUCGGUCCCUAUCUGCCGUGGGCGCUGGAGAACUGAGGGGGGCUGCUCCUAGUACGAGAGGACCGGAGUGGACGCAUCACUGGUGUUCGGGUUGUCAUGCCAAUGGCACUGCCCGGUAGCUAAAUGCGGAAGAGAUAAGUGCUGAAAGCAUCUAAGCACGAAACUUGCCCCGA